AGUGAACGCUGGCGGUAGGCCUAACACAUGCAAGUCGAACGGCAGCACAGUAAGAGCUUGCUCUUACGGGUGGCGAGUGGCGGACGGGUGAGGAAUACAUCGGAAUCUACUUUUUCGUGGGGGAUAACGUAGGGAAACUUACGCUAAUACCGCAUACGACCUACGGGUGAAAGCAGGGGAUCUUCGGACCUUGCGCGAUUGAAUGAGCCGAUGUCGGAUUAGCUAGUUGGCGGGGUAAAGGCCCACCAAGGCGACGAUCCGUAGCUGGUCUGAGAGGAUGAUCAGCCACACUGGAACUGAGACACGGUCCACACUCCUACGGGAGGGAGCAGUGGGGAAUAUUGGACAGUGGGCGCAAGCCUGAUCCAGCCAUACCGCGUGGGUGAAGAAGGCCUUCGGGUUGUAAAGCCCUUUUGUUGGGAAAGAAAAGCAGCAGGUUAAUACCCCGCUGUUCUGACGGUACCCAAAGAAUAAGCACCGGCUAACUUCGUG
rnacentral:rRNA from 1 species